AUUGGAAAUGUAGGUGUCAACUACUUGGAUCAUGCUGGAUCAACAUUGUACUCGGAGUUGCAAAUGGAAGCAAUAUUCAAAGAUCUCAGAACUACUGUUUAUGGAAAUCCCCAUAGCCAAAGUGAUUCCAGCUUUUCAACUAGUGAGGUUACGCGCAAAGCACGUGAACAGGUACUAUAUUUUUUAUGUAGCUCUGUCUAAUGCAAGUUUCUUGGGGCAUAAUUAUCUAACAGGAAAGAACGGCAAUAUUGCUGUUUUUAUUCAGUUCCUUUCGUUAUGUCUUUGUUGUAAAUAAAGCAAGCUCUGUAACUAUAGUAUUUCAGUAUUAGGCAAAUAUUAUAACUAUAGAAUGCAAAUAUUAUGCUUAAUCAUAGAAAACAAAUUAGGUUAUGAUUAGGGAAGUCUUAUGGCAGUCUGUUCAUGUACAUCUAUAUGUACUUUGUGCACCAGAAAAAAUAAGAAGAAUACUCUUACUCUAAUUCUUCAUUGGCAUCAGAACAUUAUGGUUUCCUCUCUUUGGCACUUUAUGCUUUUUAUCUGUAACGGCUGCCCUAGUGUUCUGGCUAAAUUUCUUGGUCCAUAGCUGAUGACCCAUCUCUGAAUUAAUGUUAAAGAUUUUUGCUGCCUCCAAUUCUCUGCGAGUUAAGAGGCAGAAUUUUCUCAUUCAAUGGUGGAAGAGAAAGAGAUGAAAACUGUGAUCUCUGGUGUUGUCCCUACGACAACAAAGCUCACUGAACACAAACUCAAUCACUGAAUCAAAACAGUGAGAGUUUAGCUUCUUAGAAUUGCUAAGAAUGAUCAUCUAACUGAUGAUCCACUGUCUGAUGAAGUCGCAAA